UGGAUCCGGAUGCGUAACGAGCUCAGAGGCAGAACUUGGUUCAGUCAUCAAACAAAGUUCGAUGUGAUGACUGAACUUCAACCCACCGUUUGUGUCUCUGCACGUUCAUCCAGUCCAGAAGGAGGCAAAUGGAGCGACCCCAUCCUCUUCCUCAUCCUCAUCCUCUUUCUCUUCCUUUUCCUCUUCCUCUUCCUCAUCCUCAUCCUCUUCCUCAUCCCCAUCCUCAUCCGCGGGCGUCGGCCGCGGCCCCUCUUCUCUUCAUCCUCUUCCUCAUCCCCAUCCUCAUCCUCUUCCUCUUCCUCAUCCUCUUCCUCAUCCCCAUCCUCUUCCUCUUCCUCAUCCUCAUCCUCAUCCCCAUUCUCAUCCUCUUCCUCUUCCUCAUACUCAUCCCCAUCCUCAUCCUCUUCCUCAUCCUCAUCCUCAUCCUCAUCCCCAUCCUCUUCCUCUUCCUCUUCCUCAUCCCCAUCCCCAUCCUCAUCCUCAUCCUCAUCCUCUUCCUCAUCCUCUUCCUCAUCCUCAUCCCCAUCCUCAUCCUCUUCCUCUCCCUCAUCCCCAUCCUCAUCCUCUUCCUCAUCCCCAUCCUCAUCCUCUUUCUCUUCCUCUUCCUCUUCCUCAUCCUCUUCCUCAUCCCCAUCCUCAUCCUCUUCCUCUUCCUCAUCCUCUACCUCAUCCCCAUCCUCAUCCUCAUCCUCAUCCUCUUUCUCUUCCUCUUCCUCUUCCUCUUCCUCAUCCCCAUUCUCAUCCUCUUCCUCUUCCUCAUCCUAAUCCCCAUCCUCAUCCUCUUCCUCUUCCUCAUCCUCAUCCUCAUCCCCAUCCCCAUCCUCAUCCUCAUCCUCAUCCUCUUCCUCUUCCUCUUCCUCUUCCUCUUCCUCAUCCCCAUCCUCAUCCUCUUCCUCUUCCUCUUCCCCAUCCUCAUCCUCUUCCUCUUCCUCUGCCCCAUCCUCAUCCUCUUCCUCUUCCCCAUCCUCUUCCUCUUCCUCAUCCCCAUCCUCACCCACGUCCACUGAUGCUGAUGCGUGGCCGCCUGCGUGACGGGUUUCUCUGAACUCAGAGCUGCAUCAUUACGUUCAAUUAGGCGGCGCCGUGCUCA
rnacentral:lncRNA from 1 species